rnacentral:rRNA from 1 species
CAACUGAUUUGCUUAUUGCACCACAUGUGUUUUUUAUUGAACAAAUUUCUUUGGUGGCGGGAGCAAUCCUACCGCCAGAGGUUAUAACUAAACCAAACUUUUUAUUUACAGUCAAACUUGAUUUAUUAUUACAAUAGUCAAAACUUUCAACAACGGAUCUCUUGGUUCUCGCAUCGAUGAAGAACGCAGCGAAAUGCGAUACGUAAUAUGAAUUGCAGAUAUUCGUGAAUCAUCGAAUCUUUGAACGCACAUUGCGCCCUUUGGUAUUCCAAAGGGCAUGCCUGUUUGAGCGUCAUUUCUCCCUCAAACCCCCGGGUUUGGUGUUGAGCAAUACGCUAGGUUUGUUUGAAAGAAUUUACGUGGAAACUUAUUUUAAGCGACUUAGGUUUAUCCAAAACGCUUAUUUUGCUAGUGGCCACCACAAUUUAUUUCAUAACUUUGACCUCAAAUCAGGUAGGACUACCCGCUGAACUUAAGCAUAUCAAAAGGCGGGAGGAAA